UUUUGUGCUGUGACGAGACAAUUUUGUGGACUAGAGAUUCUGAUCUGGGGUUUACUCAGAAGUUGAUUAUUAACCCUUGGCUGUCUGAGCACACCC
rfam:Cajanus cajan Scaffold000368_1, whole genome shotgun sequence.